rnacentral:tRNA from 1 species
UAUUUUUUAGUAUAAUUAGUACGUUCAGUUUCGACCUGAAAGGAUUUCUUUAUGAUUAAAAAUAAAUUA